rnacentral:rRNA from 1 species
UACGUAGGGGGCAAGCGUUGUCCGGAAUCAUUGGGCGUAAAGAGCUCGUAGGCGGUCUGUCGCGUCGAUCGUGAAAACUUGGGGCUUAACCCUGAGCUUGCGGUCGAUACGGGCAUGACUGGAGUUCGGCAGGGGAGACUGGAAUUCCUGGUGUAGCGGUGAAAUGCGCAGAUAUCAGGAGGAACACCGGUGGCGAAGGCGGCUCUCUGGACCACAACUGACGCUGAGGCGCGAAAGCUAGGGGAGCAAACAGG